rnacentral:rRNA from 1 species
CCUACGGGAGGCAGCAGUGGGGAAUAUUGCACAAUGGGGGAAACCCUGAUGCAGCAAAGCCGCGUGAGUGAAGAAGUAUCUCGGGAUGUAAAGCUCUAUCAGCACGGAAAAAGAUGCCGGUACCUGACUAAGAAGCACCGGCUAACUACGUGCCAGAAGCCGCGGUAAUACGUAGGGGGCCAGCGUUAUCCGGAUUUACUGGGUGUAAAGGGAGCGUAGACGGUGAGACAAGUCUGCAGUGAAAGCCCGGGGCUCAACCCCGGGCCUGCUUUGGAAACUGCCAGACUGGAGUGCGGGAGAGGCAAGCGGAAUGCCCGGUGUAGCGGUGAAAUGCGUAGAUAUUAGGAAGAACACCAGUGGCGAAGGCGGCUUGCUGGAUACUAACUGACGUUGAGGCUCGAAAGCGUGGGGAGCAAACAGGAUUAGAUACCCGAGUAGUC